rnacentral:misc_RNA from 1 species
GAUGAAGAACGUAGCGAAAUGCGAUAAGUAAUGUGAAUUGCAGAAUUCAGUGAAUCAUCGAAUCUUUGAACGCACAUUGCGCCCGCCAGUAUUCUGGCGGGCAUGCCUGUCCGAGCGUCAUUUCAACCCUCGAACCCCUCCGGGGGGUCGGCGUUGGGGAUCGGCCCUUUACGGGGCCGGCCCCGAAAUACAGUGGCGGUCUCGCCGCAGCCUCUCCUGCGCAGUAGUUUGCACACUCGCAUCGGGAGCGCGGCGCGUCCACAGCCGUUAAACACCCCAAACUUCUGAAAUGUUGACCUCGGAUCAGGUAGGAAUACACGCUGAACUUAAGCAUAUCAAUAAGCGGAGGA